rnacentral:rRNA from 1 species
AUUGAACGCUGGCGGCAGGCCUAACACAUGCAAGUCGAGCGGAAACGAGUUAUCUGAACCUUCGGGGAACGAUAACGGCGUCGAGCGGCGGACGGGUGAGUAAUGCCUAGGAAAUUGCCCUGAUGUGGGGGAUAACCAUUGGAAACGAUGGCUAAUACCGCAUGAUGCCUACGGGCCAAAGAGGGGGACCUUCGGGCCUCUCGCGUCAGGAUAUGCCUAGGUGGGAUUAGCUAGUUGGUGAGGUAAGGGCUCACCAAGGCGACGAUCCCUAGCUGGUCUGAGAGGAUGAUCAGCCACACUGGAACUGAGACACGGUCCAGACUCCUACGGGAGGCAGCAGUGGGGAAUAUUGCACAAUGGGCGCAAGCCUGAUGCAGCCAUGCCGCGUGUGUGAAGAAGGCCUUCGGGUUGUAAAGCACUUUCAGUCGUGAGGAAGGCAGUGUAGUUAAUAGCGGCGUUGUUUGACGUUAGCGACAGAAGAAGCACCGGCUAACUCCGUGCCAGCAGCCGCGGUAAUACGGAGGGUGCGAGCGUUAAUCGGAAUUACUGGGCGUAAAGCGCAUGCAGGUGGUUUGUUAAGUCAGAUGUGAAAGCCCGGGGCUCAACCUCGGAAUAGCAUUUGAAACUGGCAGACUAGAGUACUGUAGAGGGGGGUAGAAUUUCAGGUGUAGCGGUGAAAUGCGUAGAGAUCUGAAGGAAUACCGGUGGCGAAGGCGGCCCCCUGGACAGAUACUGACACUCAGAUGCGAAAGCGUGGGGAGCAAACAGGAUUAGAUACCCUGGGUAGUCCACGCCGUAAACGAUGUCUACUUGGAGGUUGUGGCCUUGAGCCGUGGCUUUCGGAGCUAACGCGUUAAGUAGACCGCCUGGGGAGUACGGUCGCAAGAUUAAAACUCAAAUGAAUUGACGGGGGCCCGCACAAGCGGUGGAGCAUGUGGUUUAAUUCGAUGCAACGCGAAGAACCUUACCUACUCUUGACAUCCAGAGAACUUUCCAGAGAUGGAUUGGUGCCUUCGGGAACUCUGAGACAGGUGCUGCAUGGCUGUCGUCAGCUCGUGUUGUGAAAUGUUGGGUUAAGUCCCGCAACGAGCGCAACCCUUAUCCUUGUUUGCCAGCGAGUAAUGUCGGGAACUCCAGGGAGACUGCCGGUGAUAAACCGGAGGAAGGUGGGGACGACGUCAAGUCAUCAUGGCCCUUACGAGUAGGGCUACACACGUGCUACAAUGGCGCAUACAGAGGGCGGCCAACUUGCGAAAGUGAGCGAAUCCCAAAAAGUGCGUCGUAGUCCGGAUUGGAGUCUGCAACUCGACUCCAUGAAGUCGGAAUCGCUAGUAAUCGUGGAUCAGAAUGCCACGGUGAAUACGUUCCCGGGCCUUGUACACACCGCCCGUCACACCAUGGGAGUGGGCUGCAAAAGAAGUAGGUAGUUUAACCUUCGGGGGGACGCUUACCACUUUGUGGUUCAUGACUGGGGUGA